GGGGCGUGCUAUACAUGCAAGUCGAACGAACUCUGGUAUUGAUUGGUGCUUGCAUCAUGAUUUACAUUUGAGUGAGUGGCGAACUGGUGAGUAACACGUGGGAAACCUGCCCAGAAGCGGGGGAUAACACCUGGAAACAGAUGCUAAUACCGCAUAACAACUUGGACCGCAUGGUCCGAGCUUGAAAGAUGGCUUCGGCUAUCACUUUUGGAUGGUCCCGCGGCGUAUUAGCUAGAUGGUGGGGUAACGGCUCACCAUGGCAAUGAUACGUAGCCGACCUGAGAGGGUAAUCGGCCACAUUGGGACUGAGACACGGCCCAAACUCCUACGGGAGGCAGCAGUAGGGAAUCUUCCACAAUGGACGAAAGUCUGAUGGAGCAACGCCGCGUGAGUGAAGAAGGGUUUCGGCUCGUAAAACUCUGUUGUUAAAGAAGAACAUAUCUGAGAGUAACUGUUCAGGUAUUGACGGUAUUUAACCAGAAAGCCACGGCUAACUACGUGCCAGCAGCCGCGGUAAUACGUAGGUGGCAAGCGUUGUCCGGAUUUAUUGGGCGUAAAGCGAGCGCAGGCGGUUUUUUAAGUCUGAUGUGAAAGCCUUCGGCUCAACCGAAGAAGUGCAUCGGAAACUGGGAAACUUGAGUGCAGAAGAGGACAGUGGAACUCCAUGUGUAGCGGUGAAAUGCGUAGAUAUAUGGAAGAACACCAGUGGCGAAGGCGGCUGUCUGGUCUGUAACUGACGCUGAGGCUCGAAAGUAUGGGUAGCAAACAGGAUUAGAUACCCUGGUAGUCCAUACCGUAAACGAUGAAUGCUAAGUGUUGGAGGGUUUCCGCCCUUCAGUGCUGCAGCUAACGCAUUAAGCAUUCCGCCUGGGGAGUACGGCCGCAAGGCUGAAACUCAAAGGAAUUGACGGGGGCCCGCACAAGCGGUGGAGCAUGUGGUUUAAUUCGAAGCUACGCGAAGAACCUUACCAGGUCUUGACAUACUAUGCAAAUCUAAGAGAUUAGACGUUCCCUUCGGGGACAUGGAUACAGGUGGUGCAUGGUUGUCGUCAGCUCGUGUCGUGAGAUGUUGGGUUAAGUCCCGCAACGAGCGCAACCCUUAUUAUCAGUUGCCAGCAUUAAGUUGGGCACUCUGGUGAGACUGCCGGUGACAAACCGGAGGAAGGUGGGGAUGACGUCAAAUCAUCAUGCCCCUUAUGACCUGGGCUACACACGUGCUACAAUGGAUGGUACAACGAGUUGCGAACUCGCGAGAGUAAGCUAAUCUCUUAAAGCCAUUCUCAGUUCGGAUUGUAGGCUGCAACUCGCCUACAUGAAGUCGGAAUCGCUAGUAAUCGCGGAUCAGCAUGCCGCGGUGAAUACGUUCCCGGGCCUUGUACACACCGCCCGUCACACCAUGAGAGUUUGUAACACCCAAAGUCGGUGGGGUAACCUUUUAGGAACCAGCCGCCUAAGGUGGGACAGAUGAUUAGGGUGAAGUCGUAACAAGAGCGG
rnacentral:rRNA from 1 species